UACGUAGGCAGCAAGCGUUGUUCGGAAUUACUGGGCGUAAAGCGAGUGUAGGCGGUUCGAUAAGUUUGGUGUGAAAUCUCCCGGCUCAACUGGGAGGGUGCGCCGAAGACUGUCGAGCUAGAGUGUGGGAGAGGUAGGCGGAAUUCCUGGUGUAGCGGUGAAAUGCGUAGAUAUCGGGAGGAACACCAGUGGCGAAGGCGGUUAGCUGGCCUGUAACUGACACUGAGGCGCGAAGGCUAGGGGAGCGAACAGG
rnacentral:rRNA from 1 species